rnacentral:misc_RNA from 1 species
UUUCCGUAGGUGAACCUGCGGAAGGAUCAUUAUUGUAUAACCGAGGUGCGAGGGCUGUCGCUGACCCGAAAGGUCGUGCACGCCCGAGUGCACUCACACACAUCCAUCUCACCCCUAUGUGCACCACCGCGUGGGUCCCCCUUUGGCUUGUUCGGAGGGGGGCUUACGUGUUCACACAAACUUUGUAUGCAGUGUAGAAUGUAUUUUUUGUUUUUGCGAUCACGCAGUCAAUACAACUUUCAACAACGGAUCUCUUGGCUCUC